rnacentral:rRNA from 1 species
AACGAACGCUGGCGGCAGGCCUCAAACAUGCAAGUCUAGGGGGUGUAGCAAUACAUCACCGGCGGACGGGUGCGUAACGCGUGGGAAUAUACCUAUCGAUUCGGAACAACUGAGGGAAACUUCAGCUAAUACCGAAUACGUCCUAACGGAGAAAGAUUUAUCGUCGAUAGAUUAGCCCGCGUUCGAUUAGCUAGUUGGUGGGGUAACGGCCCACCAAGGCGACGAUCGAUAGCUGUUCUGAGAGGAAGAUCAGCCACACUGGGACUGAGACACGGCCCAGACUCCUACGGGAGGCAGCAGUUGGGAAUCUUGGACAAUGGGGGAAACCCUGAUCCAGCCAUGCCGCGUGAGUGAUGAAGGCCUUCGGGUUGUAAAACUCUUUCGCGCACGACGAUAAUGACGGUAGUGCGAGAAGAAGCUCCGGCUAACUUCGUGCCAGCAGCCG